CCAGUCCGCAGACACCGCGGGAGACGAAUCCCACCCGGGCUCGUCUGGACCAGCUUGGGACACACAGGAGGACAGAGACAGCGUUGCUUUGCAAAGUCACCAGUUCAAAGAAGUUCCUUCCCGUGUGUCGGGAGUGAGAGCAGCUGAGUCCUAAGAGCACAGGGUCGGGAACCAGGUGUCCAGGGGACAACUCCUGAGCCUCUUGGGAGAGAUGAGCCCAGAGAAUGGUUCUAGAUUUCUUCUGGGCUUUGCACAGAGGGUGGAGGGGAAAGGGCCGGUCCUGACCUGCAAAGAGUGGAGACAGGAGAGAGACCCACGUUCCAGCUUCUGUGUCUACUGUCGUGGGUGCUCCAGCGUGGAGACGGGUCUGAGGCCAAGCAUCUCACAGCACCGCUCUUCCUCCCUGGAGGUGGGGUUCAUUCCGAGGGCUGUUUUGCAUUGA